UGAACGCUGGCGGCAUGCCUUACACAUGCAAGUCGAACGGCAGCACGGGUGCUUGCACCUGGUGGCGAGUGGCGAACGGGUGAGUAAUACAUCGGAACAUGUCCUGUAGUGGGGGAUAGCCCGGCGAAAGCCGGAUUAAUACCGCAUACGAUCUACGGAUGAAAGCGGGGGACCUUCGGGCCUCGCGCUAUAGGGUUGGCCGAUGGCUGAUUAGCUAGUUGGUGGGGUAAAGGCCUACCAAGGCGACGAUCAGUAGCUGGUCUGAGAGGACGACCAGCCACACUGGGACUGAGACACGGCCCAGACUUCUACGGGAGGCAGCAGUGGGGAAUUUUGGACAAUGGGCGAAAGCCUGAUCCAGCAAUGCCGCGUGUGUGAAGAAGGCCUUCGGGUUGUAAAGCACUUUUGUCCGGAAAGAAAUCCUUGGCUCUAAUACAGUCGGGGGAUGACGGUACCGGAAGAAUAAGCACCGGCUAACUACGUGCCAGCAGCCGCGGUAAUACGUAGGGUGCGAGCGUUAAUCGGAAUUACUGGGCGUAAAGCGUGCGCAGGCGGUUUGCUAAGACCGAUGUGAAAUCCCCGGGCUCAACCUGGGAACUGCAUUGGUGACUGGCAGGCUAGAGUAUGGCAGAGGGGGGUAGAAUUCCACGUGUAGCAGUGAAAUGCGUAGAGAUGUGGAGGAAUACCGAUGGCGAAGGCAGCCCCCUGGGCCAAUACUGACGCUCAUGCACGAAAGCGUGGGGAGCAAACAGGAUUAGAUACCCUGGUAGUCCACGCCCUAAACGAUGUCAACUAGUUGUUGGGGAUUCAUUUCCUUAGUAACGUAGCUAACGCGUGAAGUUGACCGCCUGGGGAGUACGGUCGCAAGAUUAAAACUCAAAGGAAUUGACGGGGACCCGCACAAGCGGUGGAUGAUGUGGAUUAAUUCGAUGCAACGCGAAAAACCUUACCUACCCUUGACAUGGUCGGAAUCCCGCUGAGAGGUGGGAGUGCUCGAAAGAGAACCGGCGCACAGGUGCUGCAUGGCUGUCGUCAGCUCGUGUCGUGAGAUGUUGGGUUAAGUCCCGCAACGAGCGCAACCCUUGUCCUUAGUUGCUACGCAAGAGCACUCUAAGGAGACUGCCGGUGACAAACCGGAGGAAGGUGGGGAUGACGUCAAGUCCUCAUGGCCCUUAUGGGUAGGGCUUCACACGUCAUACAAUGGUCGGAACAGAGGGUUGCCAACCCGCGAGGGGGAGCUAAUCCCAGAAAACCGAUCGUAGUCCGGAUUGCACUCUGCAACUCGAGUGCAUGAAGCUGGAAUCGCUAGUAAUCGCGGAUCAGCAUGCCGCGGUGAAUACGUUCCCGGGUCUUGUACACACUGC
rnacentral:rRNA from 1 species